GACGAACGCUGGCGGCAUGCCUAAUACAUGCAAGUCGAGCGGACAGAUGAAGUGCUUGCACUUCUGACGUUAGCGGCGAACGGGUGAGUAACACGUAAGGAAUCUACCUAUAAGCGGGGGAUAACAUUCGGAAACGGGUGCUAAUACCGCAUAAUAUCUUCUUCCGCAUGGAAGAAGAUUGAAAGACGGCUCUGCUGUCACUUAUAGAUGACCUUGCGGUGCAUUAGUUAGUUGGUGGGGUAAUGGCCUACCAAGACGAUGAUGCAUAGCCGACCGGAGAGGGUGAUCGGCCACAUUGGGACUGAGACACGGCCCAAACUCCUACGGGAGGCAGCAGUAGGGAAUCUUCCGCAAUGGGCGAAAGCCUGAAGGAGCAAUGCCGCGUGAGUGAAGAAGGCCUUCGGGUCGUAAAACUCUGUUAUAAGAGAAGAACAAAUUGUAGAGUAACUGCUACAGUCUUGACGGUAUCUUAUCAGAAAGCCACGGCUAACUACGUGCCAGCAGCCGCCGUAA
rnacentral:rRNA from 1 species